rnacentral:rRNA from 1 species
AAUCAACGCUGGCGGCGUGCCUCAGACAUGCAAGUCGAACGAUUAAAGCUCUCUUCGGAGAGUGUAUAGAGUGGCGCACGGGUGAGUAACACGUAAGUAAUCUACCCUCGAGUGGGGAAUAACAACCGGAAACGGUUGCUAAUACCGCAUAAUGCAGCGGCACCGCAAGGUGACAGUUGUUAAAGAUUUAUCGCUUGAGGAGGAGCUUGCGGCAGAUUAGCUAGUUGGUAGGGUAACGGCUUACCAAGGCUACGAUCUGUAACCGGUCUAAGAGGACGGUCGGUCACACUGACACUGAAUAACGGGUCAGACUCCUACGGGAGGCAGCAGUCGGGAAUUUUGGGCAAUGGGCGAAAGCCUGACCCAGCAACGCCGCGUGAAGGAUGAAGUAUUUCGGUAUGUAAACUUCGAAAGAAUAGGAAGAAUUAAUGACGGUACUAUUUAUAAGGUCCGGCUAACUACGUGCCAGCAGCCGCGGUAAGGCACGACUGU